rnacentral:misc_RNA from 1 species
UCUCCGUAGGUGAACCUGCGGAGGGAUCAUUACCGAGUGAGGGUCCUUGUGGCCCGACCUCCAACCCCCUGUCUUCCGACUCUGUUGCCUCGGGGGCGACCCGGCGCUUCGGCGCCAGGGGGUCCCCGCUGGUCCACACAACUCUGCAUCUUUGCGUCUGAGUAAACAUUAAAUGAAACAAAACUUUCAACAACGGAUCUCUUGGUUCUGGCAUCGAUGAAGAACGCAGC